CGUAGGUGGCAAGCGUUGUCCGGAAUUAUUGGGCGUAAAGCGCGCGCAGGUGGGAUAAUAAGUCUGAUGUUAAAGUUCGGGGCUCAACCCCGUGAAGCAUUUGGAUACUGUUAUUCUUGAGUGCAGGAGAGGAAAGUGGAAUUCCUAGUGUAGCGGUGAAAUGCGUAGAUAUUAGGAGGAACACCAGUGGCGAAGGCGGCUUUCUGGACUGUGUCUGACACUGAGGCGCGAAAGCCAGGGUAGUGAACGGGAUUAGAUACCCCGGUAAUCCUGGCCGUAAACGAUGGGUACUAGGUGUUGGGGGUAUCGACCCCUCCAGUGCCGGAGUUAACGCAAUAAGUACCCCGCCUGGGGAGUACGGCCGCAAGGUUG
rnacentral:rRNA from 1 species